GACAGAGGGUGCAACCGUUGUUCGGAAUUACUGGGCGUAAAGCGUGUGUAGGCGGCCGCGCAAGUCGGAUGUGAAAGCCCCGGGCUCAACCCGGGAAGUGCACCCGAAACUGCGUGGCUUGAGUACCGGAGAGGUUGGUGGAAUUCUCGGUGUAGAGGUGAAAUUCGUAGAUAUCGAGAGGAACACCGGUGGCGAAGGCGGCCAACUGGACGAGUACUGACGCUGAUACACGAAAGCGUGGGGAGCAAGCAGG
rnacentral:rRNA from 1 species